rnacentral:rRNA from 1 species
CUGCGGAGGGAUCAUUACACAAAUAUGAAGGCGGGCUGGAACCUCUCGGGGUUACAGCCUUGCUGAAUUAUUCACCCUUGUCUUUUGCGUACUUCUUGUUUCCUUGGUGGGUUCGCCCACCACUAGGACAAACAUAAACCUUUUGUAAUUGCAAUCAGCGUCAGUAACAAAUUAAUAAUUACAACUUUCAACAACGGAUCUCUUGGUUCUGGCAUCGAUGAAGAACGCAGCGAAAUGCGAUAAGUAGUGUGAAUUGCAGAAUUCAGUGAAUCAUCGAAUCUUUGAACGCACAUUGCGCCCUUUGGUAUUCCAAAGGGCAUGCCUGUUCGAGCGUCAUUUGUACCCUCAAGCUUUGCUUGGUGUUGGGCGUCUUGUCUCUAGCUUUGCUGGAGACUCGCCUUAAAGUAAUUGGCAGCCGGCCUACUGGUUUCGGAGCGCAGCACAAGUCGCACUCUCUAUCAGCAAAGGUCUAGCAUCCAUUAAGCCUUUUUUUCAACUUUUGACCUCGGAUCAGGUAGGGAUACCCGCUGAACUUAAGCAUAUCAAUAAGCGGAGGAAAAGAAACCAACAGGGAUUGCCCUAGUAACGGCGAGUGAAGCGGCAACAGCUCAAUUUGAAAUCUGGCUCUUUUAGAGUCCGAGUUGUAAUUUUGCAGAGGGCGCUUUG